rnacentral:rRNA from 1 species
AUUGAACGCUGGCGGCAGGCCUAACACAUGCAAGUCGAGCGGAUGAAGGGAGCUUGCUCCUGGAUUCAGCGGCGGACGGGUGAGUAAUGCCUAGGAAUCUGCCUGGUAGUGGGGAUAACGUCCGGAAACGGACGCUAAUACCGCAUACAUCCUGAGGGAGAAAGUGGGGGAUCUUCGGACCUCACGCUAUCAGAUGAGCCUAGGUCGGAUUAGCUAGUUGGUGGGGUAAAGGCCUACCAAGGCGACGAUCCGUAACUGGUCUGAGAGGAUGAUCAGUCACACUGGAACUGAGACACGGUCCAGACUCCUACGGGAGGCAGCAGUGGGGAAUAUUGGACAAUGGGCGAAAGCCUGAUCCAGCCAUGCCGCGUGUGUGAAGAAGGUCUUCGGAUUGUAAAGCACUUUAAGUUGGGAGGAAGGGCAGUAAGUUAAUACCUUGCUGUUUUGACGUUACCAACAGAAUAAGCACCGGCUAACUUCGUG